GACGAACGCUGGCGGCGUGCCUAAUACAUGCAAGUCGAGCGAAUCAAUAGGAGCUUGCUCCUGUUGGUUAGCGGCGGACGGGUGAGUAACACGUGGGCAACCUGCCUGUAAGACUGGGAUAACACCGGGAAACCGGUGCUAAUACCGGAUAAUCCUUUUCCUCUCAUGAGGAAAAGCUGAAAGUCGGUGCAAGCUGACACUUACAGAUGGGCCCGCGGCGCAUUAGCUAGUUGGUGAGGUAACGGCUCACCAAGGCGA
rnacentral:rRNA from 1 species